rnacentral:rRNA from 1 species
AUUGAACGCUGGCGGCAGGCCUUACACAUGCAAGUCGAGCGAGAAAUUUUCUUCGGAAAAGAGUAAAGCGGCGGACGGGUGAGUAACGCGUAGGAAUCUACCUAGUAGUGGGGGACAACAUGUGGAAACGCAUGCUAAUACCGCAUACGCCCUAUGGGGGAAAGCAGGGGAUCUUCGGACCUUGUGCUAUUAGAUGAGCCUGCGUCGGAUUAGUUUGUUGGUAGGGUAAUGGCCUACCAAGACUACGAUCCGUAGCUGGUCUGAGAGGAUGAUCAGCCACACUGGGACUGAGACACGGCCCAGACUCCUACGGGAGGCAGCAGUGGGGAAUAUUGGACAAUGGGCGCAAGCCUGAUCCAGCCAUGCCGCGUGUGUGAAGAAGGCUCUAGGGUUGUAAAGCACUUUCAGUAGGGAGGAAAAGUUAGUAGUUAAUAACUGCUAGCCCUGACGUUACCUACAGAAGAAGCACCGGCAAACUCCGUGCCAGCAGCCGCGGUAAUACGGAGGGUGCGAGCGUUAAUCGGAAUUACUGGGCGUAAAGCGCGCGUAGGCGGUUUGAUAAGCUGGAUGUGAAAGCCCCGGGCUCAACCUGGGAACUGCAUCCAGAACUGUCUGACUAGAAUACAAUAGAGGUGAGUGGAAUUUCCUGUGUAGCGGUGAAAUGCGUAGAUAUAGGAAGGAACAUCAGUGGCGAAGGCGACUCACUGGAUUGAUAUUGACC